rnacentral:rRNA from 1 species
GACGAACGCUGGCGGCGUGCUUAACACAUGCAAGUCGAACGGAAAGGCCCUGCUUUUGUGGGGUGCUCGAGUGGCGAACGGGUGAGUAACACGUGAGUAACCUGCCCUUGACUUUGGGAUAACUUCAGGAAACUGGGGCUAAUACCGGAUAGGAGCUCCUGCUGCAUGGUGGGGGUUGGAAAGUUUCGGCGGUUGGGGAUGGACUCGCGGCUUAUCAGCUUGUUGGUGGGGUAGUGGCUUACCAAGGCUUUGACGGGUAGCCGGCCUGAGAGGGUGACCGGCCACAUUGGGACUGGGGUACGGCCCAGAAUCCUACGGGAGGCAAGAGUGGGGAAUAUUGCACAAUGGGCGGAAGCCUGAUGCAGCAACGCCGCGUGCGGGAUGACCGCCUUUGGGUUGUAAACCGCUUUCGCCUGUGACGAAGCGUGAGUGACGGUAAUGGGUAAAGAAGCACCGGCUAACUACGUG